UGAAGUUUUAGUGGGUUAGAAUGAGGCUACUUGAAAAAGAGGAGCACCAAAGAAGUCAAAAUUCAACAGCACCAGACAAAAUGGGCCUUUCUUAAAGUCUUUGCUCCAUUCCCGUUACACGAUAAUGAGCAAAGAGGGGCAACUAUAAAGGUCCAAUUUCGUCUGAUGAAAAACCAAAAAUAAAUAAACAAAAUAUAAAAACCAAAAAAUAAAAAAGUCCAUCUACAAAAUAAUGGCCCAAAUACAAAAUCCUAACCCAAACCCAUGUUACACAAGCCCAA
rnacentral:lncRNA from 1 species